AUGUUUGCUGAUGUAUCAAUUUCAAAGUGCAAGGCAGCAAAAAAGAUUGUACUUGACAAGCUUUUGUGUGGUAUGAAAAAUGAGUACACAAAAGUAUUUGAUUAUUAGUUGGAACUGCUUAGGAGCAACCCUGGGAGCACAGUGGCUGUUUCCUUGGAUCCAAAAGAGAUGGAGCAGAACAUCUUUCAGCAAUUUUAUGUUUGUUUCAAUGCAAUGAAGAAAGGGUUUAAAGCAGGAUGCAGAAAAGUGAUUGGGUUGGAUGGUUGUUUCUUCAAAGGAGCAUGCCAAGAGCCCUUUUUCUAGUAGUGUGCUAGGGAUGCGAACAACCAAAUGUAUCCAGUUGCAUGGGCCGUUGUCGAGAAGGAGACCAAGGAUACAUGGGCAUGGUUUAUUGGACUUCUUAUCAAAGAUUUGGACAUCAAUGAUCAAGGUGCUGGAUGGGUCUUCAUUUCUGACAAACAAAAGGGCCUAAUUAUGAGCAUGACAGACUACUUGCCUAGGGCAGAGCAUAGGAUGUGUGCAAGGCACAUUUAUGCCAAUUGGAGAAAGAAACACAAAGACCAUGAGUUACAGAAAAGGUUCUGGGCCAUUGCAAAGUAUUCACAUAGGGAAGAUUUUAACUAUAACAAAGCCAAGCUAACUCAACUUACUCCUGAUGGUGCAAAGGACAUCACGAGGACAGAGCCAAAGCAUUGGGCUAGGGCUUUCUUUCCAGUUGGGGCAAAAUGUGAAUCUGUUGACAAUAACCUUUGUGAAUCAUUCAACAAUGCUAUUAUAGAAGUGAUACGUCUCCAACGUAUCUAUAAUUUUUGA
rnacentral:rRNA from 1 species